UCAGCAGCCCGCGGUAAUACGAAGGUCCCAAGCGUUGUUCGGAAUCACUGGGCGUAAAGGGAGCGUAGGCGGCGUGGUAAGUCAGAUGUGAAAUCCCGGGGCUCAACCCCGGAACUGCAUCCGAUACUGCCAUGCUAGAGGAUUGGAGAGGUAGCUGGAAUUCUUGGUGUAGCAGUGAAAUGCGUAGAGAUCAAGAGGAACACUCGUGGCGAAAGCGAGCUACUGGACAAUUCCUGACGCUGAGGCUCGAAGGCUAGGGUAGCGAAAGGGAUUAGAUACCCCUGUAGUCCUAGCAGUAAAUCGGUGCACGCUUGGUGUGAGGGGAAUCGACCCCCCUUGUGCCGGAGCUAAACGCGUUAAAGCGUGCCGCCUGGGAAGUACGGUCGCAAGACUAAAACUCAAAGG
rnacentral:rRNA from 1 species